AACAUCGCGCACCUGCGGGAACCUGCGGAGGGAUCAUUACAGAGUUGCAAAACUCCCUAAACCAUUGUGAACGUUACCUAAACCGUUGCUUCGGCGGGCGGCCCGGGUCCUUCCCGGCGCCCCUCGGCCCUCGCGGGCGCCCGCCGGAGGUAAACCAAACUAUUGCAUUGUAUGGCCUCUCUGAGUCUUCUGUACUGAAUAGGUCAAAACUUUUAACAAUGGAUCUCAGAUCGGAAGAGC
rnacentral:misc_RNA from 1 species